rnacentral:rRNA from 1 species
GUUUGAUCCUGGCUCAGAAUGAACGUUGGCGGCGUGGAUUAGGCAUGCAAGUCGAGCGAGAUUAACCUUCUUCAAUUCUUCAGAAAAGAAAUUGGUUAUGAGAGCGGCGAACGGGUGAGUAAUAUAUGGGUAAUUUGCCUCUAAGCUUGGGAUAGCCAUCGGAAACGAUGAUUAAUACCAAAUGUGAUCGUCUACCGCAUGGUAGAUUGUUUAAAGGCUGGGAAUCUUCGGAUCCAGUCACUUAGAGAUAAGCCCAUAUCCUAUCAGCUAGUUGGUAAGGUAAUGGCUUACCAAGGCUUACGGGUAGCGGGUCUGAGAGGAUGAUCCGCCACACUGGGACUGAGACACUGCCCAGACUCCUACGGGAGGCUGCAGUCGAGAAUCAUUGUCAAUGCACGAAAGUGUGAACAUGCGACGCCGCGUGGAGGAAGACGGCCUUUGGGUUGUAAACUCCUGUCAGCAGGGAGGAAGGGUAGUAUUGCUAACAGUAAUAUUAUUUGACAGUACCUGCAGAGGAAGUCACGGCUAACUCUGUGCCAGCAGCCGCGGUAAUACAGAGGUGGCGAACGUUAUUCGGAUUUACUGGGCGUAAAGGGUCCGCAGGCGGUCUUGUGUGUCAGAUGUGUAAGCCCACGGCUUAACCGUGGAAUUGCAUUUGAAACUGCAAGACUAGAGUAUUGGAGGGGGAUACCCCUGUAGUCCUAACCGUAAACGGUGUGCACUAGACGUGGGUGGAUUUACCCCCAUCCGUGUCUGAGCUAACGCAUUAAGUGCACCGCCUGGGGAGUACGGUCGCAAGAUUAAAACUCAAAGGAAUUGACGGGGACCCGCACAAGCGGUGGAGCAUGUGGCUUAAUUCGAUGCAACGCGAAGAACCUUACCUGGACUUGACAUAUAGCUGCAUAUGACCCGAAAGGGACAUAGCCUUCGAGGGUGCUAUACAGGUGCUGCAUGGCUGUCGUCAGCUCGUGCCGUGAGGUGUUGGGCUAAGUCCCGCAACGAGCGCAACCCCUGUGUUUAGUUGCCAGCGCGUAAUGGCGGGAACUCUAAACAGACUGUUGGUGAAAACCAGAGGAAGGUGGGGAUGACGUCAAGUCAGUAUGGUCCUUAUGUCCAGGGCUGCACACGUGCUACAAUGGGCGAUACAAUAGGAAGCUAAGCCGCGAGGUGGCGCAAAUCCUCAAAAUCGUCCCCAGUUCGGAUUGGAGUCUGAAACUCGACUCCAUGAAGUUGGAAUCGCUAGUAAAGGCGUAUCAGCUACGACGCCUUGAAUACGUUCCCGGGUCUUGUACACACCGCCCGUCACAUCAUGGAGGUUUGUUGCACCCGAAGUCACUGAUCUAACCGCUUGCGGAGGAAGGUGCCUAAGGUGUGAUCGAUAACUGGGAUGAAGUCG